GGGUGAUUAAUCUGAGCAGAAUCCCUGUGUUUUCUCUAAUGCUCUAUAUGACAAGAUCUGGGUUUCAAAAGCUAUAGACCAGUUUUUAAGAGACCUUUAAUCCAACAGUGAUACCCCUUUAACACCCCCUCCUCCCCCUCAUGAACAGAGGGAGCCCCUAUAGAAACUUUUUUUGUGGGUAACUAACUAUAUUGUGGAGGUGUCUUAUCUAUGUUCUAACCUGCUUUAUUAUAAUUUUUUUUUUUUUUUUAAUCUGCAGUUUUGUGACAUGGAGGAUUACAAAGUAACUCUGGAUGGACCUGCUCCUUGGGGCUUCAGACUGCAGGGGGGCAAGGAUUUUAACAUGCCCCUUUCCAUUUCCAGGGUGA
rnacentral:lncRNA from 1 species